rnacentral:rRNA from 1 species
GAGUUUGAUCUUGGCUCAGAUUGAACGCUGGCGGCAGGCCUAACACAUGCAAGUCGAGCGGAUGAAGGGAGCUUGCUCCUGGAUUCAGCGGCGGACGGGUGAGUAAUGCCUAGGAAUCUGCCUGGUAGUGGGGGAUAACGUCCGGAAACGGGCGCUAAUACCGCAUACGUCCUGAGGGAGAAAGUGGGGGAUCUUCGGACCUCACGCUAUCAGAUGAGCCUAGGUCGGAUUAGCUAGUUGGUGGGGUAAAGGCCUACCAAGGCGACGAUCCGUAACUGGUCUGAGAGGAUGAUCAGUCACACUGGAACUGAGACACGGUCCAGACUCCUACGGGAGGCAGCAGUGGGGAAUAUUGGACAAUGGGCGAAAGCCUGAUCCAGCCAUGCCGCGUGUGUGAAGAAGGUCUUCGGAUUGUAAAGCACUUUAAGUUGGGAGGAAGGGCAGUAAGUUAAUACCUUGCUGUUUGACGUUACCAACAGAAUAAGCACCGGCUAACUUCGUGCCAGCAGCCGCGGUAACG